rnacentral:tRNA from 1 species
GGACCCGUAGCCUAGCCUGGACAAGGCGACAAAGAAAUAGAAAAAAUCUAUUUUAUUCGCUAGAGCCUUCUAAGCUGUAGAUCGCGAGUUCGAAUCUCGCCGGGUCCG